rnacentral:rRNA from 1 species
UACGGGGGGGGCAAGCGUUGUUCGGAAUUACUGGGCGUAAAGGGCUCGUAGGCGGCCAACUUAGUCAGACGUGAAAUCCCUCGGCUUAACCGGGGAACUGCAUCUGAUACUGGAUGGCUUGAGUUCGGGAGAGGGAUGCGGAAUUCCAGGUGUAGCGGUGAAAUGCGUAGAUAUCUGGAGGAACACCGGUGGCGAAGGCGGCAUCCUGGACCGACACUGACGCUGAGGAGCGAAAGCCAGGGGAGCAAACGGG